AAGCUGGCCUGUCCCUGGGUAAACUCCCAAGGAUCAGGUGGAGAUUGAAUCCCGAUCCUUGGGUUUCUGCUCUCGGGCAAGGUCAGUAGU
ensembl:ncRNA mir-1001 mir-1001 stem loop